GUGCACUCGCUUUGGCAGCACGUGAACUAAAAUCGGUACAAUACGGAGAAGACUGGCCUGGCCCCUGCGCGAGGAUGACACGUGUAUUUGUGAGGCAUUCCGCCUUUUU
ensembl:snRNA U6 U6 spliceosomal RNA